UCGUAACAAAAUUUCCCCCAAAUUUCUGGUCCUCUCAAAACUAUCGUCACUGGGAAAUAGACGAGUACGGGGAAAAUGCGAAGCCUACACUGACGAUUCGUAUGUCCCCUUUUGUGAUUCAUGAGUCAUCGGUGUUCACUUGGUGAGUUGUUGGGUGGAUGAAGGUUAAUACGUAUGGGGAAUUGAAGCAUCCUAUGCAGAAACAUGUGUUUUUGCCAUUGGAGCCUUCUCUGGGUCAAAUCUGUUAAAGGUGACUUGUUGAUCAUAUUGGAUGUCUCAGUGGUUGUAUCAAGUUUCAAGCAUUAAUUAUGCUGAUUGCAACAUCUUCUAAAGUUAGUUGUGUAAAAUGAUUGGACAUCAAAAUUGAGUUUAUAAUCUUGUCUUCAUGGGUGGGUAAGGAUUGUUGCCAGUGGAAGCCGGAUCCCUGAGUUCAUUGGAUCCUUCAAACAGCUGAUGUACCUCAAUCUCUCUGCUGCUGGUUUUCAAGGUAUGGUGGUUUUACCUGGACAUCAUGAGUGGAUUUGCAACAGGUUUUUGGGGUGUAAUUGGAGUUCUGUUGUUGAAGAAGCAGUGGAGAUGGAGGCUUUUCAUGUUUGUUGAGAAAAUCAUGGACAAGAUAUACGUUGCAGUCAUGGUAACAGUUGUUGCCAAGAUCAAGAGAGGAAGAGAAGCUGUAUAGGCCCUCUGGAAUGCAAGUAAUUCUCGGAUAUAUGUUAUCAAUGAAGUUUUUGUUUUAAUGCUACUAUUUGGAUCUAUGUUUGUAAUGUGGAUGUUGUUUAAAGGUUUCAAUUUUAAAAUGUUUGUUAUAUUUAUCA